UACGUAGGGUGCGAGCGUUGUCCGGAAUUAUUGGGCGUAAAGAGCUCGUAGGCGGUUUGUCGCGUCUGCUGUGAAAUCCCGAGGCUCAACCUCGGGUCUGCAGUGGGUACGGGCAGACUGGAGUGCGGUAGGGGAGAAUGGAAUUCCUGGUGUAGCGGUGGAAUGCGCAGAUAUCAGGAGGAACACCGAUGGCGAAGGCAGUUCUCUGGGCCGUAACUGACGCUAAGGAGCGAAAGCGUGGGGAGCGAACAGG
rnacentral:rRNA from 1 species